ACCUCAGUUCGGAUUGAAGGCUGAAAUUCGCCUUCAUGAAGUCGGAAUUGCUAGUAAUGGCAGGUCAGCAUACUGCCGUGAAUACGUUCCCGGGCCUUGUACACGCCGCCCGUCACACCAUGAGAGUUGGAGAUACCCGAAGCCUAUGAGCUAACUUUUAGAGGCAGUAGUCGAAGGUAGAAUCAAUGAUUGGGGUGAAGUCGUAACAAGGUACC
rnacentral:rRNA from 1 species